rnacentral:rRNA from 1 species
ACGGAAGGCAGCAGUGGGGAAUAUUGGGCAAUGGGGGAAACCCUGACCCAGCAACGCCGCGUGAAGGAAGAAGGCCUUCGGGUUGUAAACUUCUUUUACCAGGGACGAUAAUGACGGUACCUGGAGAAAAAGCAACGGCUAACUACGUGCCAGCAGCCGCGGUAAUACGUAGGUUGCAAGCGUUGUCCGGAUUUACUGGGUGUAAAGGGCGUGUAGGUGGAGCUGCAAGUCAGAUGUGAAAUCCCGGGGCUCAACCCCGGAACUGCAUUUGAAACUGUAGCCCUUGAGUAUCGGAGAGGCAAGCGGAAUUCCUAGUGUAGCGGUGAAAUGCGUAGAUAUUAGGAGGAACACCAGUGGCGAAGGCGGCUUGUUGGACGACAACUGACGCUGAGGCGCGAAAGCGUGGGGAGCAAACAGGAUUAGAUACCCUGGUA